rnacentral:lncRNA from 1 species
UUAAGUGAAUCACAUGUGCUCUAUUAGGGUAAAAGAAAAGCUUUCACGCAAAUCGCUCUAGAACUUUUUUAUCUUGACUCCAAAGUGACCCAGAAGCAGUGACUUUCCAGUGCUAAGGAGCAUAUCUCACAACCAGAUCAUGACUUCUAAAACACAAGGACUUAAAAGGAACAAGGACUUUUCUGAGAAAUGACUGAUUUCCUAUGACUGAAAAGGAAACUGACUUUACGUUUACCAGAUCCACCAGGUCAAAUGUGAAGGUUUUCAAAUCACCAACGAGUCUCAUUUCGUAUGUGGAAAAGAAAACAUAAAGAGAGAGAUACAUUUUCAGCAUCUUGUGUUGCUGAAAUAUUCAAUUUCUAGUAAUUUCUCCAUUGAGCAUGUAAUUUUUUAUUUGAGUGAUGACCAUGACUAUUUUCACUAUUGACAGCUUCAGUCCUACUGCCAACCGUGUUAGUUACUUUACUUGUUUAAAUCUGAGUUGUUGU